rnacentral:lncRNA from 1 species
GCAGAGUGUGUCCAGAUGGCAGCUUCUGAAGAACCAAGCCCAGCACCUGAAUCAGCUCUGUUUUUUUGCUCAAAAUGCUUGGUGCCAGGGCCUCUCUGUCAGAUGCUAAGACAAGGGAGCUCAGCAGCUGCUGGCUGUCAGCCCAAUCCCUUAGCUAGACGUAAAGGUUCUCCAAGUCCCUACUAGCCUCAGGAGUCCAGCUGGCUUCACCUAGUGGAUCCUGCACCGGGGCCGCAGGCAGAGCUGCCCUCCAGUCCUGUGGCAUGCACCUGCACUCCUCAGCCCUUGGGCCCUCGAUGGGACCAGGCACCGUGAAGCAGGGGGUGGCGCUCAUCGGGCUGUGCAGGAGUCCACAGCAGGGGUGAGGCUCAGGCAUGGCGGGCUGCAGGUCCUGAGCCCUGCCCUGCAGGGAGGCAGCUGAGACCCAGCGAGAAUUCGAGCACAGUGCCGGUGGGCCAGCACUGCUGGGGGACCCUGCGCACCCUCCACAGCUGCUGGCCUGGGUGCUAAGCCCCUGACUGCCCAGGGCCGGUGGUGCCGGCCAGCUGCUCAGAGUGUGGGGCCCUCUGAAC